rnacentral:rRNA from 1 species
UACGUAGGGAGCUAGCGUUGUCCGGAAUCAUUGGGCGUAAAGCGCGCGUAGGCGGCCCGGUAAGUCCGCUGUGAAAGUCAAAGGCUCAACCUUUGAAUGUCAGCGGAUACUGCCGGGCUAGAGUCCGGAAGAGGCGAGUGGAACUCCUGGUGUAGCGGUGGAAUGCGCAGAUAUCAGGAAGAACACCAACGGCGAAGGCAGCUCGCUGGGACGGAACUGACGCUAAGGAGCGAAAGCCAGGGGAGCAAACGGG